GACGAACGCUGGCGGCGUGCUUAACACAUGCAAGUCGAGCGGUAAGGCCCUUUCGGGGGUACACGAGCGGCGAACGGGUGAGUAACACGUGGGUGACCUGCCCUCAGCUCUGGGAUAAGCCUAGGGAAACCGGGUCUAAUACUGGAUAUGACUCCAUGACGCAUGUUGUGGGGUGGAAAGCCUUGUGCGGCUGAGGAUGGGCCCGCGGCCUAUCAGCUUGUUGGUGGGGUGAUGGCCUACCAAGGCGACGACGGGUAGCCGGCCUGAGAGGGCGACCGGCCACACUGGGACUGAGACACGGCCCAGACUCCUACGGGAGGCAGCAGUGGGGAAUCUUGCGCAAUGGGCGAAAGCCUGACGCAGCGACGCCGC
rnacentral:rRNA from 1 species